UGAGGAAUAUUGGUCAAUGGCCGCAAGGCUGAACCAGCCAAGCCGCGUGAAGGAAGAAGGUACUAAGUAUUGUAAACUUCUUUUGUCAAGGGACAAAAGAGGGGUCGUGACCCCUUCUGAGGGUACUUGAAGAAAAAGCAUCGGCUAACUCCGUGCCAGCAGCCGCGGUAAUACGGAGGAUGCGAGCGUUAUCCGGAUUUAUUGGGUUUAAAGGGUGCGUAGGCGGGCUGUUAAGUCAGCGGUAAAAGCCCGGGGCUCAACCCCGGCGAGCCGUUGAAACUGGCGGUCUUGAGACGCCGAGAGGUAUGCGGAAUGCGCAGUGUAGCGGUGAAAUGCUUAGAUAUUGCGCAGAACUCCGAUUGCGAAGGCAGCAUACCGGCGGCGUUCUGACGCUGAGGCACGAAAGCGUGGGUAUCGAACAGG
rnacentral:rRNA from 1 species